rnacentral:rRNA from 1 species
UACGUAGGGGGCUAGCGUUGUCCGGAAUCAUUGGGCGUAAAGCGCGUGUAGGCGGUUCGGUAAGUCCGCUGUGAAAGUCGGGGGCUCAACCCUCGGAUGCCGGUGGAUACUGUCGGACUAGAGUACGGAAGAGGCGAGUGGAAUUCCUGGUGUAGCGGUGAAAUGCGCGGAUAUCAGGAGGAACACCAGUGGCGAAGGCGGCGAUCUGGGAAGAUACUGACGCUGAGGUGCGAAAGCGUGGGGAGCAAACAGG